AAGCAGUCCUGCUCAGGUAUGGACGUCUGUUCUCACAGGUUUCCCUGCAGAGCUGACUCACGGACUACUUCCACCUCUCAGGGUCUGGGUUACGAGUAUCCCUGAGGGAAAGUCUGUCAGGAUCACAGGACCUCAGGAGCUCACCUUAUGCAAAUGGCCUUAUCACUCUCAGCCAGGCAGUUUUUGUUUGUCUACAUAUGCUUUUAUUUCUUUCCAUGCUUUCUCUUCUACACUGUCAGUCCCUGAGAGUAGAGCUGGUGUCUGUUUCCUGUAUCGCUACACGACCAGUUCCGAGACAAGGGCUGCCCACGGCUGGUGCUCACUGGAAGUAUGAUCUGGCCAGCCAGAGGCUCCACCGUGAGAUACUGGGCCCUCCUAUGAAAAGCAUGGUUCACCCAUAGAACCAGCACCCUGAAUGCCCACCAGCUAAUCACAGCAGCAGGUCUAGGGAUGCACCCUCUUUUCCAACCAUGUAUGCUCUGCCUGCCCUGUACCCUCUAUUCACCCUCAGCUCAGACACCAGCUUCUGCAGAAACCCUUCUCAACUAUCCCACUGGAGUCUAAAAUGAAGGCAGUGAUCAUGUCUUUCUUCUAAGCACACCUACGUAACAGGCCAGAAUGUCACUCAGAGGAACUGAGAAGUAGGUCCGCAUCAAAGAAGCACAAGAAAAACUGCCAACCACUGCAUCCUUCCAAUUCUAAAAGACUAGGAAGGAGGAAAGGCUGGAGACACAGCUCAGCAGUACAGUGCUUGCCUAGCACGCAGGCAGGAAGAAGCUGCAGCACAGGGGGGCCGGUGAGAUGGAACUCAUACAACUUUGGCGAAGGGGAGCGCGGAGGAGGGCCACUCUAACCUAGAGGAUGCUUUGGAUUUCACAAACAGAGGAGCUAGUGCAAUCCCAAGGGCAUUACCUGGGGUCUGAGCUGGACUUCACCAGGCCUCUGAAAGGAGGAGAGUCCUUGCUUGUGUCUGGGUUAUAUGAUUACCAUGCACAAGUCUCUCCUGAUCGUACCUUUUUAAAAGCACUCUUCCUUCAUCCACACACUUUCUUGUGCCUACAGGUGUGUUCUCUACCUGAGCCUGCUGGCCUGCAGUACACAAAAGAGCUGGGCCAUGCUGGGGCCCAGAUUGCUGGCACAGUAAAGGACAGGCAAGAAGAGAUUUAAUACUUCUGUGACCAGGACAGGUUAUGGCCCAGCCACAGGCAUUAGGAGAGCCCAGUCUGUGCAGCUACUGGUGUGAGGGUUUGCAAUGCAAACAACAGGUCUCAUCUUCAAAGAGAAAAGACAGGGGAUGCUGCCGGUGGUUGGGGGUAGGCUCUGAUGGCUCACCACAGCUCUGCCUCUUCCAAGUGCAUUACCUAGGACAAAUGGCUUCAUCUCUCUAAACCCCACUUUCCCCGUCUGUAGCAUGAGGCUUGCUAGUUUAUAAAUCACAAAGCUGGUUCUCAGACUCAGUGGUACCUGAGUCAGACUCAGACAGCUAUUAUUAUCUGAGGUCAAAGACACAAGGACCUUGGGAGUCUGGGGUAGGAUGGGAACGUGCCGAACCUGCUAAGUCCACUGAGACCCUAGGCCUGAGUGACAGGUGAACUCCACCAGACGCAUCUCCACCAUAACACAACGGAGCACCUCAGGAAUCAGAUCAAACAGACCUGUCCUUGAGCAAUUAAACCGUUCUCUACCAGUGGCCAGCCUUGAUGGCUUUCAGAGGACGGUGAACAGGGACCCCAGCUGCUGCUGGUGCCACCUUACGGCUCCUCUACUUUCCUGCUGCCAGUGAAGCCCAUCUACCCUCUUGGCCCUUUCAGUUUUCUUGGAGAUGCAGUCUACGCUAGAGUUCUUUUAGGAGGUCACUGAAAACUUCUGGGACACUGUCAGAUCUCUGUGCCUUUUUAGUUGAAAGACCAUCGUGGAUUUAGAACUCGAAUACGUGAAGCACUAAACCAGAUGUCUGAGGACAAAGAAGCCUGUGGCCAGGCCGUCUCCCGAGGAGCUUCAGCUGUGCUUCUGAGGCAGCAGCAGAGGCCCAGUCAGCACUUACUCAGGCACAGAAGGUCUGGAGCCUUGUUUCUAGAAGCGAACUUUACUUCCAGGUCUGUGGACCAGCACGGGGACACUCAUUAGUCCUUAUAAAACAUUCUCGAACUAAGAAACAGCCUUUCGGGCUCCCAACGACUUUGGUAUGAUGUAAUUUUAUAAACCAGAGGGCCUGGAUUUGAGCUCUAACCUCACUAAUUACCCAUCUGAGAAACUUACUAGCGUCUCUGACUUUUAAUGCCCUCAUCUGCCCAAGGGCACCACAGCUACUGACCACCACAGAUGUCUGCUUAGACGGAGGCUAUCCUGAUUAUUAAUAGGCUUUGGAUCCAAGCUCUGCCCAUAAGCCUGAAACUUUGCCUAUGCUGCUGUUGUUGGGCCUCAGAGUCUCUCAUCUAUAAAACCAGGUGGCACAACAUCCUCUGAGAGCUCCAGGGGAGAGGAACUCAGGUGUGGCCGUAAAGCACACACUGGGCACAUACUGAGUGUCUGGAACGGCCAGUGAGGUACUGAUCGUUACAAUAAAGACAAGGACUUGCUGCUGGCUGUAACAGGGCCACGUCCAGCCAAUGCAUAGGCUCUGUGUUUCACAGGGCCACCAGCUCCUCUACACACGCUUUGUUCAGAAGGUGACCGCUCUGUGCUAAUGAGUACUGUGCUGGACUGGUAUUUCCCGACUUCCCUCCAGGUAGUCUUGAGAAGCAGAGACUCCUGCACAGGAUGAGGGUUCAGAUCCUGAGGGUUUCUGCCUCCCCCAUCCCCACAUGCUGCUCAGCUAAUGUCCGGUCACCACACUGCAUGACUGCCACCUCACCACUCUACCUGGUGCUCUUGCUGAUCUUGUUAGGAAUAGAAGAGGCACAAAAUGUUGUCCUUAGCCCACCUCUCAUUUCUAAGGCAGUUUUGAAGGAAUUAAGGCACCAAGCAUAACUCUGGACCAUACUGACCUGUGUGCCCACUUCUCAGUUAGUUCAGCUCUCAGGAGUAUGUGUACAGGAAUAAAUACUAAAUUCUCAAGUCUAACCUAAAGGGAAAGGCACUGAGAGAAAGGCCGUGGGGUAAGGAUUGGAUGGUAUCAGGUGUGCACCCACCUUAUAC